UUCUUUACAUAAGUUAAGUCGGGAAAGUUUUUCGGUGCAGGAUGAGGCUAUAUCGUAUCAGCUAGUUGGUGAGGUAAUGGCUCACCAAGGCUAUGACGCGUAACUGGUCUGAGAGGAUGAUCAGUCACACUGGAACUGAGACACGGUCCAGACUCCUACGGGAGGCAGCAGUAGGGAAUAUUGCUCAAUGGGGGAAACCCUGAAGCAGCAACGCCGCGUGGAGGAUGACACUUUUCGGAGCGUAAACUCCUUUUCUUGGGAAAGAAUUAUGACGGUACCCAAGGAAUAAGCACCGGCUAACUCCGUGCCAGCAGCCGCGGUAAUACGGAGGGUGCAAGCGUUACUCGGAAUCACUGGGCGUAAAGGACGCGUAGGCGGAUUAUCAAGUCUCUUGUGAAAUCUAGUGGCUUAACCGUUAAACUGCUUGGGAAACUGAUAAUCUAGAGUAAGGGAGAGGCAGAUGGAAUUCUUGGUGUAGGGGUAAAAUCCGUAGAGAUCAAGAAGAAUACCCAUUGCGAAAGCGAUCUGCUGGAACUUAACUGACGCUAAUGCGUGAAAGCGUGGGGAGCAAACAGGAUUAGAUACCCUGGUAGUCCACGCCCUAAACGAUGUAUACUAGUUGUUGCUUCGCUAGUCGAGGCAGUAAUGCACCUAACGGAUUAAGUAUACCGCCUGGGGAGUACGGUCGCAAGAUUAAAACUCAAAGGAAUAGACGGGGACCCGCACAAGCGGUGGAGCAUGUGGUUUAAUUCGAAGAUACGCGAAGAACCUUACCCGGACUUGAUAUCUAACAAAUCAUCCAGAGAUGGAAGAGUGUCUGCUUGCAGAAAUGUUAAGACAGGUGCUGCACGGCUGUCGUCAGCUCGUGUCGUGAGAUGUUGGGUUAAGUCCCGCAACGAGCGCAACCCACGUAUUUAGUUGCUAACGGUUAGGCCGAGCACUCUAAAUAGACUGCCUUCGCAAGGAGGAGGAAGGUGUGGACGACGUCAAGUCAUCAUGGCCCUUAUGUCCGGGGCGACACACGUGCUAC
rnacentral:rRNA from 1 species